UCAAACUCCCAUGUGGCCUGGUCUGCUGCUCUCCCCAGCCACUCCACUAGUAUCUGGGUUUCCAGUCGUCCUUCUACUCGUAUUCUACGCUUCGCCAGCACUCGAACCGGCUCCACUACCUCGUCCUCCGGUGGCUCAUGUAUGAUUGGGCCGACAGAUGUCUUGGGUUCAAGCCGGGCCCUCAGAAACGACACGUGGAAUACCGGAUGAACUCUCGAUGUAGUCGGCAAGUCCAAGCGAUACGCCACGGGUCCAAUGCGCUCCAAUAUCUGAAAGGGCCCGUAGAAGCGAUGAGAGAGCUUCUGGUU
rnacentral:lncRNA from 1 species